GGUUGUGACUGCCCAGCAGUAGGAGAAUCCACGGAAGGAAGGAGGCAGAGGUUCGCGGAUUUGCGGAUUGCCAUUUCCAGGGACGGCCUUCACCAGAGACGGAGAUUUCUGAACAGAAAUUUAGAGCUGACCCAGAAGACACAAAGACAGAGCAUCCCCGUUGCUGGCCAUUUCCUGAAAACCAAAGAAAAUGAUGGAGCCGCAGGUGUCACUGAGAUUCAACGAUGUAGCUGUGACGUUUACAUGGGAAGAAUGGCAGUUCCUGGGCCCAGCUCAGAAGGACCUGUACCAGGACGUGAUGCUGGAGAACUACAGCAACCUGGUAUCAGUGGGGUACCGAGUUAGCAAACCAGAAGCACUGUCCCGGUUGGAACGAGGAGAACCACCGUGGAGGUUAGAAGACCAAAUCCAUAGUCGAACCU